AUUGAACGCUGGCGGCAGGCCUAACACAUGCAAGUCGAGCGAGCGGCGGACGGGGGAGUAAUGUAUGGGGACUGCCCGAUAGAGGGGGAUAACUACUGGAAACGGUAGCUAAUAUCGCACACUAUCGGAUAACCCAUAUGGGAUUAGCUAGUAGGUGAGGGAAUGGCUCACCUAGGCGACGAUCCCUAGCUGGUUUGAGAGGAUGAGCAGCCACACGGGGACUGAGACACGGCCCAGACUCCUACGGAGGCAGCAGUGGGGAAUAUUGCACAAUGGGCGCAAGCCUGAUGCAGCCAUGCCGCGUGUAUGAAGAAGGCCCUAGGGUUGUAAAGUACUUUCAGUCGGGAGGCGUUACCGACAGAAGAAGCACCGGCUAACUCCGUGCCAGCAGCCGCGGUAAUUC
rnacentral:rRNA from 1 species